AGCUUUGCGCAGUGGCAGUAUCGUAGCCAAUGAGGUUUAUCCGAGGCGCGAUUAUUGCUAAUUGGAAAUAAACAUAUAUCAAAGUUACUCAUCUAUACUAAUGCUGCAGUCAAAAUGAUUGAAACUUUUCCAAGGGA